CAGCAGCCGCGGUAAUACGUAGGUGGCGAGCGUUAUCCGGAAUCAUUGGGCGUAAAGAGGGAGCAGGCGGCAACUAGGGUCUGCGGUAAAAGACCGAAGCUAAACUUCGGUAAGCCGUGGAAACCGAGGAGCUAGAGUGCAGUAGAGGAUCGUGGAAUUCCAUGUGUAGCGGUGAAAUGCGUAGAUAAAUGGAGGAACACCAGUGGCGAAGGCGACGAUCUGGGCUGCAACUGACGCUCANUCNNUNNNGCGUGGGGAGCAAAUAGGAUUGGAUACCCUAGUAGUCCACGCCGUAAACGAUGAGUACUAAGUGUUGGGGGUCAGACCUCAGUGCUGCAGUUAACGCAAUAAGUACUCCGCCUGAGUAGU
rnacentral:rRNA from 1 species